UGAGGAAGGUUUUCGGAUUGUAAAGCUCUGUCGAGCGGAAAGAAGUGCAUGGUGGUUAAUAUCCAUCAUGCUUGACGGUACCGCUAAAGGAAGCACCGGCUAACUCCGUGCCAGCAGCCGCGGUAAUACGGGGGGUGCAAGCGUUGUUCGGAAUCAUUGGGCGUAAAGCGCGUGUAGGCGGCUGGACAAGUCAGAUGUGAAAGCCCUGGGCUUAACCCAGGAAGUGCAUUUGAAACUGUUCAGCUAGAGUAAGGGAGAGGAAAGUGGAAUUCCUGGUGUAGAGGUGAAAUUCGUAGAUAUCAGGAGGAACACCGGUGGCGAAGGCGACUUUCUGGCCCUAUACUGACGCUGAGACGCGAAAGCGUGGGUAGCAAACAGGAUUAGAUACCCUGGUAGUCCACGCUGUAAACGAUGUUCACUAGGUGUUGGGGGUAUUGACCCUUCCAGUGCCGCAGCUAACGCAUUAAGUGAACCGCCUGGGGAGUACGGUCGCAAGAUUA
rnacentral:rRNA from 1 species